rnacentral:rRNA from 1 species
AUCGAACGUGGGCGGCAGGCCUGACACGUGCAAGUCGAGCGGAGCGGCGGACUGGUCAGGAACGCCUAGGAAGCUGCCUGCUAGUGGGGGAUAACGUCCGGGAACGGGCGCUAAUACCGCAUACUAUCAAAUGAGCCUAUGUCGGAUUAGCUAGGUGGUGGGGUAAAGGCCUACCAAGGCGACGAUCAGUAACUGGUCUGGGAGGCUGAUCAGUCACAGUGGAAUGGAGACAGGGUCCAGACUCCUACGGGAGGGAGCAGUGGGGAAGAGUGGACAAUGGGCGAAAGCAGGAUCCAGCCAUGCCGCGUGUGUGAAGAAGGUCUUCGGAUUGUAAAGCACUUUUAGGUGGGAGGCGUUACCAACAGAAUGAGCCCCGGCUAACUUCGUGCCAGCAGCCGCGGUAAUUC